AAGAGAGCCAAGGAAGAAGCAAGGGGAAGUUAGUGCGGAAGAAAACGCAAAAGCAAGAGCAAGUACUCCUAAAGGCAAAGGAAGUAGUGAUCGGUGGAGUUUAAAGGUGCAGGUAGCUGGCGAUCUUUUGUGUGUAUAUAUAUUUUGCUUAAAAUGCAUCUUAUUUUGAAGUGAAGAUAUAUUGUAUAUCUAUUUUGGUAUGUAAAUAUUCCUCCAUAA